rnacentral:tmRNA from 1 species
GGGGACGACUUGGCUUCGACGCGGGUUACAAACCCUGAGGUGCAUGCCGAGAUGACAGCAAAUCUCGUAAAUCCAAAGCUGUAAACAUAUAAUUGCAAACGACGAAAGUUACGCUCUAGCGGCCUAAACCCCUGCUAGCGUCCACUCUAAGGUGCUUGUACCGCGGAACUGGAUGUCAAAUAGAACAAGUUCGCCAAAAGACCUCGUUCCUGGUCGAUUGGUUAAAAAUUUAGGAGCUCGCCUUUUGCACCCUGACCUUUGGGUCGCUCUUGGUUAAAUCAAUUAAAGGACUUCUAAGCAUGUAGAGCUGAUGGCAGAGGACUGGCGGACGCGGGUUCAAUUCCCGCCGUCUCCACCA